rnacentral:rRNA from 1 species
GAUGAACGCUGGCGGCGUGCCUAAUACAUGCAAGUCGAGCGAACAGACGAGGAGCUUGCUCCUUUGACGUUAGCGGCGGACGGGUGAGUAACACGUAGGUAACCUACCUAUAAGACUGGGAUAACUUCGGGAAACCGGAGCUAAUACCGUAUAAUAUUUCGAACCGCAUUGUUCGAUAGUGAAAGAUAGCUUUGCUAUCACUUAUAGAUGGACCUGCGCCGUAUUAGCUAGUUGGUAAGGUAACGGCUUACAAAGGCAACGAUACGUAGCCGACCUGAGAGGGUGAUCGCCCACACGGGACCUGAGACAGGGUCAAGACUCCUACGGGAGGCAGCAGUAGGGAAUCUUCGGCAAUGGGCGAAAGCCUGACGGAGCAACGCCGCGUGAGUGAUGAGGGUCUCCGGAUCGUAAAACUCGGUUAUUAGGGAAGAACAAACGUGUAAGUAACUGUGCACGCCUUGACGGUACCUAAUCAGAAAGCCACGGCUAACUACGUG